GGCUUUUCCCGUGUGCCAUGUUGUCUCCAGCAAUAUAUGUGGCUUCUCGCUCAGAGCUUCUGCUGAGGCAGGGCCUCGCACUGAGUCACAUGGCUCCUUGGAACAAGAAAACUUUCUCAGAAGUCCUCCCACACAGGUGUGAGCGUGAUGGACUCUAGACUGCCUUCCAUGAGCGUUGGUCAUGCUGUGAUGUCAUCAUUUUCCAUUAAAACCCAGUGUGUAUGAUGCCAAGAAGAUUAAUUGUGCAAGUGACUGAUUCAUUUAAAUUGUAAUCACAUCCCUUUUCUGCUUCACCAACCUGAACUGUUUUAAAAAGUAUCAUUAAAAGUCUGUUCUCUUUCCUUUUGA